rnacentral:sRNA from 1 species
GCUGGUCAUGGUGGCGCAGUGCCUGUAAUCCUAGUAACUGGGAAGGCUGAGACAGGAGGAUUGCAAGUUGGAGGCCAUCCUGGGUAACUUAUGGAAGCUCUAAGCAACUUGGCGAGACCCUGUCUCUA